rnacentral:tRNA from 1 species
CGUGGCCUAGUGGUUAAGACGCUGGGCCAAUAAGCCAAUGGUCGUGGGUUGAAGCC